rnacentral:rRNA from 1 species
AGGACGAACGCUGGCGGCGUGCCUAACACAUGCAAGUCGAACGAGGUCCAUCCGGUAGCAAUACUGGUGAAGAUCAAGUGGCGAACGGGUGAGUAGCACGUGAGCAACCUGCCCCGAAGACCGGGACAACACCGGGAAACCGGUGCUAAUACCGGAUAUCCCCACCGAGUCGCAUGGCUUGGUGAGGAAAUGGAUUCCGCUUCGGGAGGGGCUCGCGGCCUAUCAGCUUGUUGGUGAGGUAAUGGCUCACCAAGGCUUCGACGGGUAGCUGGUCUGAGAGGACGAUCAGCCACACUGGGACUGAGACACGGCCCAGACUCCUACGGGAGGCAGCAGUGGGGAAUCUUGCACAAUGGGCGAAAGCCUGAUGCAGCAACGCCGCGUGAGGGACGAAGGCUUUCUGAGUUGUAAACCUCUUUCAGCAGGGACGAUUGUGACGGUACCUGCAGAAGAGCCCGGCAACUACGUGCCAGCAGCCG